rnacentral:rRNA from 1 species
AACGAACGCUGGCGGCAUGCCUAACACAUGCAAGUCGAACGGGAUCCUAGCUUGCUAGGUGAGAGUGGCGGACGGGUGAGUAACACGUGGGAAUCUGCCUUUUGGUUCGGGAUAACCGCGGGAAACUGCGGCUAAUACCGAAUGCCCUCGAGAGAGGAAAGAUUCAUCGCCAGAAGAGGAGCCCGCGUCCGAUUAGGUAGUUGGUGGGGUAAAGGCCUACCAAGCCGACGAUCGGUAGCUGGUCUGAGAGGAUGAUCAGCCACACUGGGACUGAGAUACGGCCCAGACUCCUACGGGAGGCAGCAGUGGGGAAUAUUGGACAAUGGGGGGCAACCCUGAUCCAGCAAUGCCGCGUGAGUGAUGAAGGCCUUAGGGUUGUAAAGCUCUUUUGCCAGGGAAGAUGAUGACUGUACCUGGAGAAUAAGCCCCGGCUAACUUCGUGCCAGCAGCCGCGGUAAU